CCAGAGGCUGUCACAGACACUGAGCUCCGGUAGGUCUCCAGAGGCUGUCACAGACACUGAGCUCCGGUAGGUCUCCAGGUCCGCUAGACCAGAGGCUGUCACAGACACUGAGCUCCGGUAGGUCUCCAGAGGCUGUCACAGACACUGAGCUCCGGUAGGUCUCCAGAGGCUGUCACAGACACUGAGCUCCGGUAGGUCUCCAGAGGCUGUCACAGACACUGAGCUCCGGUAGGUCUCCAGGUCCUCUAGACCAGAGGCUGUUACAGACACUGAGCUCCGGUAGGUCUCCAGAGGCUGUUACAGACACUGAGCUCCGGUAGGUCUCCAGGUCCUCUAGACCAGAGGCUGUUACAGACACUGAGCUCCGGUAGGUCUCCAGAGGCUGUUACAGACACUGAGCUCCGGUAGGUCUC